rfam:Microscilla marina ATCC 23134 1099589004148, whole genome shotgun sequence.
AACCAAAGGAGACCAGAAACCUUUAAACAAACGGGGCAGAACCGAAAAGCCAUACGAGUAGGAAAAUA